GGGCCCGCACAAGCGGUGGAGUAUGUGGUUUAAUUCGAUGCAACGCGAAGAACCUUACCAGGGCUUGACAUCCUGCGAACCUCUGGGAAACCGGAGGGUGCCUUCGGGAACGCAGUGACAGGUGGUGCAUGGCUGUCGUCAGCUCGUGUCGUGAGAUGUUGGGUUAAGUCCCGCAACGAGCGCAACCCACGUCUUUAGUUGCCAUCAAGUAAAGUUGGGAACUCUAGCGAAACUGCCGGUGUAAACCGAGAGGAAGGUGGGGAUGACGUCAAAUCAUCACGGCCCUUACGUUCUGGGCUACACACGUACUACAAUGCUACGGACAAAGGGCAGCAAGUUCGCGAGGACAAGCAAAUCCCAUAAACCGUGGCUCAGUUCAGAUCGUAGGCUGCAACUCGCUACGUGAAGGCGGAAUCGCUAGUAAUCGC
rnacentral:rRNA from 1 species